UCUUCAUUGACACCACCUGUAACUUAUCCAAAUCUCCCUAUUGGUUCAUACCAUGGUAGAACUACUUUGGUUCUGUCACAGAAAUAUUUAAACCCAAUAUUCAAAAAUCAUUCCAAAUCUUCAAGACAAAUUUCAUUCCGUCUGAAGAAGAAAAGAAAUUUCUCCCACUAGCCCUCUUUCACUCUAAAUUUCAUUUUCCUUGGGUUUUUUCAUGGACCCUAGAAUUUACUUCUGAUCCAAUUCCUGUUUUCCGAAGAAAAUACAGAGUCAAGUGGUGGGAUAAAUACAAAAUUCCCUCGAACCUUUACCCGCCAAAUAUUCUUACCAGGAUAAAAGAACAAAACUCAAAAAUCCAAAAACUUAACCAAACACGAAACCAUUCACCAGAGACAACUUUUUUCUUGGCUCAAAAAUCCAAAAUGUUAGCAAUGUUGGCAGGUGCGAAAUCUGAAGAAGAAAUUAAGGCUAUCUUCUUACAAUUUCUACUGUCAAUGUCAGAUCAAAUCUGUCGUACUUCAGGGAGUGAUUCAGGGUUCCAAGUGCUAGAUAUCGAUGCAGAAAUUUUUGGCAACAGUGGAGUUUAAAUCUCUCUCCCCAAGAAAUGCAAAUCUCCUCAAAAUCCAAAACGUAUCUUUGUUGCAACUCUGUCGGAUACGGUUACAUUGUUACCAAUAUUUUCCACGAUCUCUUGUCGCAAUAUCCGAUAAAAAUCCAAAACAUCAAAUAAGUGCUAUCUCCUGUAGCCAUGAAGACCAAUGUCCACUUCCAGCAGACAUCAAACAAUUAUGGAGCUUAAUGGAGCAAGCUUUUGCUAGUGGAGUUAUCCAUAUAUACCACUUUUAUUUUCAUCAUUAUUUUUAUUUUAUAAUUGCACCCUUGUAAACUCCUAUAUAAAAGAGUCUUUGCUUCAGUUGUAAACCAAGUUCUCAUUCUCCCAUUCCCCCACUCUUUCGUUCAUAUCCUCUCUUACAUUCACUCUAGUCCUUGUAAUCGAGAACAUUGCUAUAAUUUCUUUUUGAGUUGACCACGGCGAAUAUGCCCAUAUCAGUGUACCUUGGCAUUGAUUCGCGUAAAACCGCCUAAUUUCCGCGUAGACCUCCUAAUUCUUGCCUAGAUCUCCUAAUUUUUUUUUCUUUCGUCCGUGUAAAGUUGAAACACAUUUGUUUAUCUUUUACUCAUUAUUCAUAGAUUUUGUGUAAUUAUUCAUUACUAAAUAACUACAAUUAGAUAUCAAAUCCAAAAUAAACACAUAAUUAUUUUAUUUAGGGA